rnacentral:rRNA from 1 species
UACGGAGGGUGCAAGCGUUUGUCCGGAAUCACUGGGCGUAAAGGGCGCGUAGGCGGCUCAUGAAGGCUGUGGUGAAAGUCCGGGGCUCAACCUCGGAUCGGCCGUGGCGACUCGUGGGCUGGAGCACUGUAGAGGCGGGUGGAAUUCCACGUGUAGCGGUGAAAUGCGUAGAUAUGUGGAGGAACACCAGUGGCGAAGGCGACUUUCUGGGCUGUAACUGACGCUGAGGCGCGAAAGCGUGGGUAGCAAACAGG